AAUCAACGCUGGCGGCGUGCCUCAGACAUGCAAGUCGAACGAUUAAAGCUCUCUUCGGAGAGUGUAUAGAGUGGCGCACGGGUGAGUAACACGUAAGUAAUCUACCUUUGAGUGGGGAAUAACGUCCGGAAACGGACGCUAAUACCGCAUAAUGCAGCGGCAUCGCAAGAUGACAGUUGUUAAAGAUUUAUCGCUUGAAGAGGAGCUUGCGGCAGAUUAGCUAGUUGGUAAGGUAAUGGCUUACCAAGGCUACGAUCUGUAACCGGUCUAAGAGGACGGUCGGUCACACUGACACUGAAUAACGGGUCAGACUCCUACGGGAGGCAGCAGUCGGGAAUUUUGGGCAAUGGGCGAAAGCCUGACCCAGCAACGCCGCGUGAAGGAUGAAGUAUUUCGGUAUGUAAACUUCGAAAGAAUAGGAAGAAUAAAUGACGGUACUAUUUAUAAGGUCCGGCUAACUACGUGCCAGCAGCCGCUGUAAU
rnacentral:rRNA from 1 species